GACGAACGCUGGCGGCGUGCUUAACACAUGCAAGUCGAACGGAAAGGCCCUGCUUUUGUGGGGUGCUGGAGUGGCGGACGGGUGCGUAACACGUGAGUAACCUGCCCUUGACUUUGGGAUAACUUAAGGAAACUGGGGCUAAUACCGGAUAGGAGCUCCUGCUGCGUGGUGGGGGUUGGAACGUUUCGGCGGGUGGGGAUGGACUGGCGGCUUAUCAGCUUGUUGGUGGGGUGGUGGCUUACCCAGGAUUUGACGGGUACCCCGCCUGAGAGGGUGACCGGCCACAUUGGUACUGAGAGACGGCCCAGACGCCUACAGUAGGCAGCGGUGGCGAGCAUUGCACAGUGAGCGGAAGCCUGAUGCAGCAACGCCGCGUGCGGGAUGACCGCCUUCGGGGUGUGAACCGCUUUCGCCUGAUACGAAGCGUGAGUGACGGUAAUGAGUAAAGAAGCACCGGCUAACUACGUG
rnacentral:rRNA from 1 species